rnacentral:rRNA from 1 species
UGGGGAAUAUUGGACAAUGGGCGCAAGCCUGAUCCAGCCAUGCCGCGUGAGUGAUGAAGGCCCUAGGGUUGUAAAGCUCUUUCACCGGUGAAGAUAAUGACGGUAACCGGAGAAGAAGCACCGGCUAACUUCGUGCCAGCAGCCGCGGUAAUACGAAGGGGGCUAGCGUUGUUCGGAUUUACUGGGCGUAAAGCGCACGUAGGCGGACUAUUAAGUCAGGGGUGAAAUCCCGGGGCUCAACCCCGGAACUGCCUUUGAUACUGGUAGUCUUGAGUUCGAGAGAGGUGAGUGGAAUUCCGAGUGUAGAGGUGAAAUUCGUAGAUAUUCGGAGGAACACCAGUGGCGAAGGCGGCUCACUGGCUCGAUACUGACGCUGAGGUGCGAAAGCGUGGGGAGCAAACAGG